rnacentral:rRNA from 1 species
UACGGGGGGGGCAAGCGUUGUUCGGAAUUACUGGGCGUAAAGGGCGCGUAGGCGGCCUACUAAGUCAGACGUGAAAUCCCCCGGCUUAACCUGGGAACUGCGUCUGAUACUGGAAGGCUUGAGGAUGGGAGAGGGAUGUAGAAUUCCAGGUGUAGCGGUGAAAUGCGUAGAUAUCUGGAGGAAUACCGGUGGCGAAGGCAGCAUCCUGGACCGGCAUUGACGCUGAGGAGCGAAAGCUAGGGGAGCAAACGGG